AGGGCUGUAGAUUAGUGGUAGAGUACAUGCUUUGCAUACAAAAGGUCCCAGGUUCAAUCCUUGGUAGGACUA